UAUGGCGACCGGCGCACGGGUCGAGUAACGCGUAUCCAACCUGCCCUUUACUAUGGGACAGCCCGUCGAAAGGCGGAUUAAUACCGUAUGUUGUCAUGUUGAUGCAUAUUUUCAUGACCAAAGGCUUCGGCCGGUAAAGGAUGGGGAUGCGUCUGAUUAGCUUGCCGGCGGGGUAACGGCCCACCGGGGCGACGAUCAGUAGGGGUUCUGAGAGGAAGGUCCCCCACAUUGGAACUGAGACACGGUCCAAACUCCUACGGAAGGCAGCAG
rnacentral:rRNA from 1 species